GCAGGAUGGCGGCCGUGGAAGUUGAAAUCCACUAAGGAGUAUGUUACAACUCACCUGCCAA
rfam:Papio anubis isolate 1X1155 chromosome 16, whole genome shotgun sequence.